CAGCACCGGGCCAAGCCGUGGUUUAGACACCCGGUUCACAAUGAUCAAUGGAGCUAUGGAAACAGCAGACAUCGCGCCGGAGCCUGCUGGCCUCCCAUCUGGAGCCUCACAGACACUGAAGGCUAUGAAAGCUGUAGUACUGUGGAGACGAAAAGGACAUAUGGCAAUCACCUCAUUUGUCUCCUUCCUCCAAAGACCACAACUAUAGCACCAUAUAGCACAUGUUGCAGGCAAGUCCCUGUCACUCCUGGAUGCUCACUCACUGAUGCUGGCAAGGGUCUCCCCACGGUGCUGGAAAGAUAGCUAGAGCCCCGCCCCCCCCUCCAGUGGAGCGGCAGGUGCAGAGGAAACUUGGAUGUGCUGAAAGAGGUGAGUUGGAAUGUGGCCCGGCCUGAGACCUACCUGCAGAUGCCCCCCCCCACACACACCGUCAACUUUGUGCCCGUCUCGUAUCAAUAAAGAUGGACUGGGUGGCACCGAUUAGUGCCAAGUACUGUGCUGGGCAUGGGGAUGCCCUGAUGCCCCUGACAGGCCUUGGGUGC